ACGUGUAUCCUGAUAAGGCAGUGUAGUAUUAGCUGGCUGUAUGUAAUUCAGCAGCUAUACAGCACUUCCACAUCAGGGUGUGCAUU
rnacentral:pre_miRNA from 1 species